CAAGAUUUGAUUAACUGCAUUGAUAUAAGGUGUCCAUCUGCAUAGAAGGGAACAGGAACUGUCGAAUUAACACCCAAAAGGGGGUGCUAUUAUGAAAAUAUAUAUUUCUCAUACAUUUCUGUUUUUUUCUCACCUUAUCCUUGGCUUCAUCAUAACAGUGAACAAAUCUGCAUUAGUACGUUUUAGAUAAAAACAUCCAUAUAAACAGCGAAAUCAUAUCUUUCAACACCAUGUUCAUGUAGUAGUAAGCACCUCUUUCAAAUUUCUGUUUUGUCAACUAAACCACCACCAAACCUCUGUAUAUUUACACUCCAUUCUGUGCAUAUUUAUUGUUAACUCUUGCUUGUUUUAAAAAAUGCAGAAAUUCCCAAUUGUGACACUGAAAACCUCAUUUAAUUACUUGAUGACCUCGAUGAAAGACUUAUGCCAGAGUCAGCUGGCAUUAAAACCUCAUCAUCUGCCAGAAACAAAGACUGGCAGGAAAGCUCCAGAAAGGUGAAGAGAGAGACUGGGAGAGAGAGAG